rnacentral:lncRNA from 1 species
AGAAGCUGAAAGCCACAGUAGAAGCAGCCUCGUCCCAGAGCAGAAGAGGGGCUUAGAGGCAGUUCCUGAGAUCUCAGAGAAGACAAAACCCCAAUCAGUUCCCCUAUCAUCAGGAACAGAGUUUGAUUGCAAUCCAGGAAAUGAUGUUGGAGAAAUGAGCAAACAGAAAAAAAUGUUGAGCAAAAUGAAGAAAUAUCUUAGAUUGAAUAAAUCCAGAAGAGAGAAAUUAUACAACAAAUCUGAGUCUCAGAGGGAAACAAAUCUCCUGACCAUAAAGAUUUCAAGACUACCUUGAAGAUACGAAACAAGAUAUACAAGAUGUAAUGUCUAAGGAGGAGAAAAUUACUACCUAGGCAAGGAAAAUUAAUACCUUAAAAGAGAUGGUGAUAAAAUUUACACAAGAACUGAAUGUGCUCAAAAUUAGAAUGAGCCACACAGAAAAUGAUUCAAUGAAAAGUUGCAGAUUAUACAGAAAAAUAAGGUCAAAGGACAAUUCAAUUGGAAAAAGAAUUGCAAACUUUACAAAUAAAGAUAGUAGCACUAGAAGACAAGUUUGAAUAAACCAUUUAGACAGUUAUCAAAUUAUGCAAAAAGUAGGAAGAAAGUUUCCAACUCAUUUUUCAGAAAAUCACUCAAUAAAAAUGUCAAGAACUAAUUAUGGUCAAAGGACAAACUACAGUCCAACACAAUUCAACAGAAAUCCUCAGGAAAAUUCAUAUUCAAUUUAUUUGGACACACUGUCAAGUCUAGAACUUCCUUGGCAAAAGGGAUUUAUGAGACAUAGCUAAGAAAAAAAUUGUCACAUACUAAUUUUAUUUAUACAAGAUUGUUCCCCAUUUAAAGAAAAGGCAGAAAAUUCUAUAAUAUGAUUUAAAGUAAACCAAAUUAAGCUAAACUUCACUGAAGGUUAUAGUUCAGAAGGAAAUAAAGAAAAAAUGGUCUGCCUAGAAGUUUUCCUAGUAAAGACACAUAGAAUAUGCUCAACAAAUCUGGAGAUGAAAUAAAAGCUUUCAGCUUCCGUGAUUUGUUUCCUUCAGGACUUUUGAAAGAUUCUGUCAGCUUUAUUGUGACAUCCUAGAAUGAAUGAUAACACUUUUUGGUUACAAGAGAUACCACCUGGAGGAAUGGAUUUCUGGCAUAAGAUUAAGACAGUUUAGGAGAAAUUACUUAGUCAGGUGGCCUGUCUUGUCCAAAUGAAUUAUGUUAUACAAAAC